GUUUCCGUGGUGUAGCGGUUAUCACGUCUGCUUUACACCACAGAAGGUCCCCGGUUCGUUCCCGGGCGGGAACA